AUUGAACGCUGGCGGCAGGCCUAACACAUGCAAGUCGAACGAGUGGCGGACGGGUGAGUAAUGUCUGGGAAACUGCCUGAUGGAGGGGGAUAACUACUGGAAACGGUAGCUAAUACCGCAUACCAUCGGAUGUGCCCAGAGGGGAUUAGCUAGUAGGUGGGGUAAAGGCUCACCUAGGCGACGAUCCCUAGCUGGUCUGAGAGGAUGACCAGCCACACUGGAACUGAGGCACGGUCCAGACUCCUACGGGAGGCAGCAGUGGGGAAUAGUGCACUAUGGGCGCAAGGCUGAUGCAGCCAUGCCGCGUGUAGGAAGGAGGCCUUCGGGUUUUAGAGUACUUUCAGCGGGGCGGCGUUACCCGCAGAAGAAGCACCGGCUAACUCCGUGCCAGCAGCCGCGGUAAUUC
rnacentral:rRNA from 1 species